rnacentral:rRNA from 1 species
GACGAACGCUGGCGGCGUGCUUAACACAUGCAAGUCGAACGGAAAGGCCCUGCUUUUGUGGGUUGCUCGAGUGGCGAACGGGUGUGUAACACGUGAGUAACCUGCCCUUGACUUUGGGAUAACUUCAGGAAACUCGGGCUAAUACCGGAUAGGAGCUCCUGCUGCAUGGUGGGGGUUGGAAAGUGUCGGCUGUGGGGGAUGGACUCGCGGCUUAUCAGCUUGUUGGUGGGGUAGGGGCUUACCAAGGGUUUGACGGGUAGCCGGCCUGAGAGGGUGACCGGCCACAUUGGGACUGAGAUACGGCCCAGACUGGUACGGGAGGCAGCAGUGGGGAGUAUUGCGGAAUAGGCGGAAGCCUGAUGCAGCAGCGCCGCGUGCGGAAUGACGGGCUUCGGGUUGUAAACCACUUUCGAAUGUGACGAAGAGUGAGUGACGGUAAUGGGUAAAGAAGCACCGGCUAACUACGUG